rnacentral:rRNA from 1 species
CCUACGGGGUGCUGCAGUGGGGAAUAUUGGACAAUGGGCGAAAGCCUGAUCCAGCCAUGCCGCGUGUGUGAAGAAGGCCUUCGGGUUGUAAAGCACUUUCAGUGGGGAAGAAAGCCUUGGGGCUAAUACCCUCGAGGAAGGACAUCACCCACAGAAGAAGCACCGGCUAACUCCGUGCCAGCAGCCGCGGUAAUACGGAGGGUGCGAGCGUUAAUCGGAAUUACUGGGCGUAAAGCGUGCGUAGGCGGUCUGAUAAGCCGGUUGUGAAAGCCCCGGGCUCAACCUGGGAACGGCAUCCGGAACUGUCAGGCUAGAGUGCAGGAGAGGAAGGUAGAAUUCCCGGUGUAGCGGUGAAAUGCGUAGAGAUCGGGAGGAAUACCAGUGGCGAAGGCGGCCUUCUGGACUGACACUGACGCUGAGGUGCGAAAGCGUGGGUAGCAAACAGGAUUAGAUACCCGGGUAGUC